GGGCACGGUUACUAGGGACGCUACAGGAGGUGGCGAAGGACCGUAACGCAGGCAACGUCCUUUCUCACUGUCACAAAUGCGAGCCCCGAGUCCAGCUAACGUCUAAUGAUGGUUUCUGAUACAAUCCUGCGGUUUAACGGGGCAUUCUAGAAGCAUAACUAUCCGAAUCUACACUAAUGACUACCACAGUAAGCUAAAGUAAAACGCAGUCUUCAAGAGAGUUUGCUCAAUGGAAUCUCAUCAGCACCGGGACUAUUACUGAUUCUCUUGAAUGACACCCAGAUCCGCAGCUAGGGACUGAGCUUUUCUCUGGUUUCUAGCUUUAUUUCGUUCUAUCUGAACGAGGACUUCUCGCGGUAUACGCAGAAAGCGCGUUUUUAUUAACUGGAUCAACAUAUUAGAGCACAGAGGAACAGGAAAGAACGGGCGUUGGGUGACCAGCCCAAGAAAAGGACAGGCUAUGCAGCGUGCUAUUCAACAUGGCGGAGAACGCAGUUCAUCUCUAAUUGACAAGAAUUUCACGAGUUGACCAAUCAGAGGGAGAAUACUUAUUUGUCCCGCCCUCCUGUUUCUCGACUGACCAGUAAGACGCUAGACAUAGGAAAUGCCUGUCACUCGGACCAAGCUCUCUGCUACAGUCAUGGCGGGCAGAGCAACAUUGGAGGGAGGAGCUCAGGAGCCAGUGCUGGUUCACUCUGGGAGUCAGACACUAGAUUUUUUUUAGACAUAUUUAAGUACAGCACAAUUCUGCAAAAUUCUCCCAUGUAUAUAAUAAAGUUUAAGAUGUGACUACAUCAAAUCUCUGUAAAGUACACGUGGUACCUUCCAUGAAGAUGGGCUCUAUAGAUUGAUCCUCUGGGGGAGGAGCCAGUGUGCUCCUGGCCACAUGGUGCAAAGGUCACCAAGCUGAAUCACCCAUGUCCGUCCCACCCUUCUGGGCAGAAAAUAGGUUGUACAUGUCUGCCUUUGAGGGAACAACCCUGGGUCUCAUUCCUAGUUUCCCGAGUGCUUAUCUGUGGCACAAUGACCUCUGCCACUUUCUAAGAACCCCUCAUAAAUCUAAGUGCAGCUCUUCCACAGCUCUGGUGCCGUUUUACAUAGCACUGCUUAGCCUUUCUAACAGGUGCACACCUUUUCUGUUUUGCUAGGUUCCUUACACACCGCUGACUUGUGUUAGGCCCCUAACCUUUGGGUGGUGAUAGGUUCCUUACACAAGCUCCACAUGUGACUUCCUACGCAGGAACACUACCUGAGAUCUCUUUCCGAUUUUGCAUACUGAGGCCACUUCAUACACGUUUUGGAAUUGACUGAAUGGCAAAUCUACUUGGAGGAUAUAGUCUGCACACCACUCCUUAAACUCUAAACACUUAGAAAUCUUAUGAAUAGAGAACUGAGGAAUACACUUAAAUAUACCUAUCUUUCCAGCCCCUUUAAAGUACAUCCUUUUAAGUUUGGCAGGGUAAUGUCUUUCAGCUUUAAUAGAGCAGAGUCCCUUUGGGUGAGCUGACUUGUUAUAAUCCCUACAACGAAGUCGUUGUUAGGAUUGUUAGCUAUUGUGCUAUAACCCCUACAUCAAAUCCUAAGGUAGUGGUUUUCUAACACUGCAAAUUCCACAUAAGCAGUGGUUAGCAGAAGUCUGUCAAAACAGCUGCAUAUUCACAGACUUAAGUAGUAAUGGAUAUCCCAGUAUCCAUUAUUAUGAACUGGAAUAUUAUUUUGACCUAAAUUUCUAAGAUAUACCAUUCCAAGAUUUUCAAUUGUUUUAUAAAUAAUUGUAUAGUUUAUACAACUAAAAUGAAAGAAAAACUAAAUUCUGGAUGAUUCAAGUAUCUUUAUCUCAAGACCCUAGGCUCAAACAUUCAUUUUUCUUAACUUCUUGGAUUGUAAUAGAGGUAAUGAAGCACUGUAUUUUGCAGGCCAAAACAUGGCUGACCGUAAAAUCAGGCUUUUAUUCCAAGGUGUGAAAAUAAGUGAUAAGUACCUAUCAGGUUUUAAAAACUCAUAGGUAUGUAACUAGAAUUAAGGUAGCUAAUUUGAAAUUUAUAAUCUGAGACAUGAGUGAAAUAUAAUUUCACGUGUGAAGUAUAGUGAGUGGUUGGCAAUAAGAAGCUAAACCCAUCUGACUGUAAAAUGUGCCACAUGGCAUGGGCUUGUUUUGAACUGAUAAAGGUCUCUACCACUGGGCCAUCCUCUCAACCAGAAUACUCAUAGGAACCUCAACUAGCACUCCUCUGGAGAAGACUGAUGGGCAAUGACAGGCUUCUUUUGUAUUACUUUAGAAUCAGUUAUUCUUUGAGGCUUUCUAUGGGAAGGGGUACUUGUGUACGCAAUGUCUCCCAUGGCUCCAGGUAGUGACCAGGCCCAGUUGGUGAUAGUUUGGCUGGCUUAUAAGACAUGGCCUUCUGAUGUCACUGGGGCAGGCAGGCUUUGAGAAUGUCAAGACUGGCACCAUUAGAGUUCAGUUUUGUGCUUGUGGUUCAAAAUGCAAGCCCUCAUCUUUCCAAGCCUCCUGGUUUGCCACCAUGGAUUCUUUCUUAACCCUUUGGAAUUCUAAGCCCAAAUAAAUUCUUUCC
ensembl:lncRNA